AAUACUGGAUUUUGUGCUUAAUUGUUUCUAUAGGCUUAUUUUGUUACUAAUACUUAAUUCCUGCAUAUUCAAAAAUGCAACAAAGCUCAUGAUACUAAUGCUUUAUAUGUAACACAGUUACUAGAGUGAAGAGAAGUUAUUGCAAUUUGUAGUUCAGUAGUGACUGUGCUACCUAGAGUGAGCAUUACAGAUGAUCAAAAGAGGUUGACUUAUUAUUUAACUCUCCCAUAUUAUCCUCUUUGACUACUAGUAUGACAUUGACUUCAAAAACGUAAUAGAAACUUAUUAUAGUUAGAUGGGAAUGAUCAUAAUCAGAUUUAUCAAUUUUGGAAUUUUGUUGUGUGAUCUUCUCCUAGUGGUCUACCUACUCAGCUUAGUUAGAGUGCUAAUAUUUACUUGAAAGUCUAAUUUAUUUAUUAAGAAUUGUUAAGUAUUACUAGUCUAGGCUAUGCACGUGAGAAAGACAAGAAAUCAAUUGUACAUAAUGAUGAAUUCUAGUAUUUUUCAAGAUUUGGAAGGUGCAUUUCUCUUACGUUACAAUAAUUACUAUAUAUUGUGAAAAAAAUAGACUGGAAUAUCUAGUUACCCUUCGUUAUCUACUUAUAAAAAUAUUUCAUUUGAGUUUCUAUCCUAGUUGUACAGGUGAAGGUGAUGUUAAUAUGUGCAGGUGCAAGAUGAUGGUCAAAGUUUAUUCAGAGCAUAAAUCUACAAUAUAUCUUCACCGGUUAUAAGGUGGUUCAUUGUACAAAAACACAUAUUUGGAGGGAUGUAAAUCAGAAGGGCAGCGAUUAACCGCUUACACCAGAGAAUGAAGUGUUCCUUCAGAGCUAAUACAAAAUAUGUCCAGUUUUUUCCUUACUGCAACAAAACUGUAUAAUUCCUUUACAAUUGUCUGUUGAUCUAAUUUUUUUCCUUCAAACUAAUUAUUUCAACUGAUAUAUUAGUCUUACUCACUUUGAAAUGUAUUAUUAGACAGGCUGGUAGAUAUUUAGAUGGUUGUAUGUGUAGAAUUUUAAAUUUCUAUGAAUAUGUUGGAGGUAAGGUAUAUGUCCCCCUCUUUGUUUUUUGACAUGUUAAUGAAAUUUCUUCUCUGAUGUUGGAA